rnacentral:rRNA from 1 species
AGACUCCUACGGGAGGCAGCAGUGGGGAAUAUUGCACAAUGGGCGAAAGCCUGAUGCAGCGACGCCGCGUGAGGGAUGACGGCCUUCGGGUUGUAAACCUCUUUCAGCAGGGAAGAAGCGAAAGUGACGGUACCUGCAGAAGAAGCACCGGCUAACUACGUGCCAGCAGCCGCGGUAAUACGUAGGGUGCGAGCGUUGUCCGGAAUUAUUGGGCGUAAAGAGCUUGUAGGCGGUUUGUCGCGUCUGCCGUGAAAAUCCGAGGCUCAACCUCGGACUUGCGGUGGGUACGGGCAGACUAGAGUGUGGUAGGGGAGACUGGAAUUCCUGGUGUAGCGGUGAAAUGCGCAGAUAUCAGGAGGAACACCGAUGGCGAAGGCAGGUCUCUGGGCCACUACUGACGCUGAGAAGCGAAAGCGUGGGGAGCGAACAGGAUUAGAUACCCUGGUAGUCCACGCCGUAAACGUUGGGAACUAGGUGUGGGUCUCAUUCCACGAGAUCCGUGCCGCAGCUAACGCAUUAAGUUCCCCGCCUGGGGAGUACGGCCGCAAGGCUAAAACUCAAAGGAAUUGACGG